rnacentral:rRNA from 1 species
UACGGAGGUGGCAAGCGUUGCUCGGAAUCACUGGGCGUAAAGGGCGCGUAGGCGGGGAGGUAAGUCGGGUGUGAAAUCCCUCGGCCCAACCGAGGAACUGCGCCCGAGACUGCUUCUCUUGAGUCCCGGAGAGGAAGAUGGAAUUCCCGGUGUAGCGGUGAAAUGUGUAGAGAUCGGGAGGAACACCGGUGGCGAAGGCGGUCUGCUGGACCUGCACUGACACUGAGGGACGAAAGCUAGGGGAGCGAAUGGG